AUUGAACGCUGGCGGCAUGCUUUACACAUGCAAGUCGAACGGCAGCACGGGAGCUUGCUCCUGGUGGCGAGUGGCGAACGGGUGAGUAAUGCAUCGGAACGUACCCAGUAGUGGGGGAUAGCCCGGCGAAAGCCGGAUUAAUACCGCAUAUUUCCUGAGGGAGAAAGCGGGGGACCUUCGGGCCGUCGCGCUACUGGAGCGGCUGAUGUCGGAUUAGCUAGUUGGUGAGGUAAAGGACUCACCAAGGCGACGAUCCGUAGCUGGUCUGAGAGGAUGAUCAGCCACACUGGGACUGAGACACGGCCCAGACUCCUACGGGAGGCAGCAGUGGGGAAGUUUUAGGUACAAUAGGGGCGGAACCCUACGAUCCA
rnacentral:rRNA from 1 species